rnacentral:rRNA from 1 species
UUACGGCCCCCUAUUCCUACGGGAAGCAGCAGUAGGGAAUCUUCCACAAUGGACGAAAGUCUGAUGGAGCAAUACCAUGUGAACGAUGAAGGCCUUUUGGUUGUAAAGUUCUUUUACGAGGGAUAAUUAUGAUAGUACUUCGUGAAUAAGUGACAGCAAACUAUGUGCCAGCAGCUGCGGUAAUACAUAGGUCGCGAGCAUUAUUCGGAUUUAUUGGGCGUAAAGCAAGCGCAGGCGGAUGUGUAAGUUCUGUGUUAAAUGCAGCUACUCAAUAGUUGUAUGCACCGAAUACUACAUGUCUAGAUUGUGGUAGGGAGUUUCGGAAUUAAGCAUGGAGCGGUGGAAUGUGUAGAUAUGCUUAAGAACACCAGAGGCGAAGGCGGAAACUUAGGCCAUAAAUGACGCUUAGGCUUGAAAGUGUGGGGAGCAAAUGGGAUUAGAUACCCCAGUAGUCCACACCGUAAACGAUGGGUAUUAGAUAUUAGGGCUUUAGCUUUAGUGUUGUAGCUUACGCGUUAAAUACCCCGCCUGGGUAGUACAUAUGCAAAUAUGAAACUCAAAGGAAUUGACGGGGACCUGAACAAGG